rnacentral:rRNA from 1 species
CCUACGGGACGCAGCAGUGAGGAAUAUUGGUCAAUGGCCGGAAGGCUGAACCAGCCAAGCCGCGUGAAGGACGAAGGUGCCAAGCAUUGUAAACUUCUUUUGUCAAGGGACAAAAUCAGGCUCGAGAGCCUGACCGAGGGUACUUGAAGAAAAAGCAUCGGCUAACUCCGUGCCAGCAGCCGCGGUAAUACGGAGGAUGCGAGCGUUAUCCGGAUUUACUGGGUGUAAAGGGAGCGUAGACGGCAGCGCAAGUCUGAAGUGAAAUCCCAUGGCUUAACCAUGGAACUGCUUUGGAAACUGUGCAG